GGAGAGAUGGCUCAGUGGUUAAGAGCACUGACUGCUCUUCCAGAGGUUCUGGGUUCAAAUCCUAGCAACUACA
rnacentral:tRNA from 1 species